AGCAGUGUAUCUCUGUGAGGCAAUAAGGUAACUAAGCUAGCAUCACAAUGACUGUCCUCUCUCUCACCCUCAACUUGCUGUGGGUUUAGACAAAUUAGCUCAUCUCUGAGACCUGCUCACACCUCUCCAAAGAUGAAGAUGUGUGGUAUACUUACAGAGAGACCUGGACCAGCAACACAGAAAGGACAAAAAAAAGACUAAUUGCCUUUUAUCUUCCAAAACAUCAACCAGCUUGGCUCUGUGGACUAUGGGGUGUCAAGGAGUACCUACCUGCAAACAACUAUGAGUGACAAGGUUACAAGGAUUUUGUCUACUUGUGGAUUUCAACUCAGCUGGAAAGACACCUCCUCGGGUCUCCCUACAUGGCUGGAGUGGGUUUCCCAGCAUCCUCUAUCUUCCCAUCCUUGUCCUGGACACCUGCCCAGUUCUCAGCCCCCACCUUCAAGAGAAGGAGGUAACCUUAGGACUGGAACUGGAACUGGAGAGGAGCCAAUGAGGCAAUGCCAGCAUAGCUUCAAGGAAUGAAGCCUGGGAAUGAAAGAGCCUAGCCGGUCCUUUGAGAGGCUCCACCCAUCAGCUGACUGAAACAGAUGCCGAGACCCACAGUCCAACAUCGGCUGGAGCUUGGAGACUCUUAUAGAAGAAUUGAGGGAAGAAUUGAAGGCCCCAAAGGGGAUGUGACCUCCACAGGAAUAGGGGGCUCUCAAGAGACUGAACUACCAACCAAAGAACAUAUAUGGGCUAGACAACAUCUGCCCCACGUCCCCGCCCCGCAACAUAUGUAGCUGAUGUGCACCUCGGUCUUCAUGUGAGUCCCCCGACAACUGAAGCGGGACUCUCCCUAAAGCUAUUGCCUGUCUGUGGAAUAUGCUCCCCUAACUA